rnacentral:rRNA from 1 species
CGUAGGGUCCAAGCGUUAUCCGGAAUCACUGGGCGUAAAGCGUGCGUAGGUGGCGCGUUAAGUGAGAUGUUAAAUCGUGUGGCUCAACCAUAUCGAUGCAUCUCAUACUGGCGUGCUAGAGGACAGCAGAGGCAAGUGGAAUUUGUAGUGUAGCAGUGAAAUGCGUAGAUAUUACAAGGAACACCAAUGGCGAAGGCAGCUUGCUGGGCUACUCCUGACACUGAGGUACGAAAGCGUGGGGAGCGAACAGGAUUAGAUACCCUGGUAGUCCACGCCGUAAACGAUGCAUACUAGUCUUAUGGGGUAUCGACCCCCUGUGAGACGCAGCUAACGCGAUAAGUAUGCCGCCUGGGAAGUACGGCCGCAAGGCUA